AUAAUCCCCAAACCAGAUCCUUACAUCCCUAUUGGUCAGCGUGAUGGACCCAGUGCUCUGGAUCUUCAUAAAAUCAAUGUCCUGUAUGAUUGCGGUGCCCUGGAAUAACGAUCCAGAGAGCAGAUAUGUCACCAAAAGUAGUUUUCUAAUUAAUCCAAAGCUUUAUCACUACCACAACUACACAGAGAUCGUUAGAUUUAAUUAAACUCUGCCAUCAAGUCACUUGUGCAGACUGAUUAAUAAUUAUUAAACUGUUCAUUUGUAGUUUAGUGAAUUUAUUUCCUAAUCUGAGUAACAUUUUGAUUUGUUAAACCGUAUUUUAAUGUGCACUUUGUUGACCAAGAGUUGUGUUCCAUUAAUAAAGUCAAGUAAGAUUUACCAUAAAAUUGUAACAAGAUUAAAUAAAGACUUGUAUUAAAGAGACUGUGCAGAA